rnacentral:rRNA from 1 species
GAUGAACGCUGGCGGCGUGCCUAAUACAUGCAAGUCGAGCGAACGGACGAGAAGCUUGCUUCUCUGAUGUUAGCGGCGGACGGGUGAGUAACACGUGGAUAACCUACCUAUAAGACUGGGAUAACUUCGGGAAACCGGAGCUAAUACCGGAUAAUAUUUUGAACCGCAUGGUUCAAAAGUGAAAGACGGUCUUGCUGUCACUUAUAGAUGGAUCCGCGCUGCAUUAGCUAGUUGGUAAGGUAACGGCUUACCAAGGCAACGAUGCAUAGCCGACCUGAGAGGGUGAUCGGCCACACUGGAACUGAGACACGGUCCAGACUCCUACGGGAGGCAGCAGUAGGGAAUCUUCCGCAAUGGGCGAAAGCCUGACGGAGCAACGCCGCGUGAGUGAUGAAGGUCUUCGGAUCGUAAAACUCUGUUAUUAGGGAAGAACAUAUGUGUAAGUAACUGUGCACAUCUUGACGGUACCUAAUCAGAAAGCCACGGCUAACUACGUGCCAGCAGCCGCGGUAAUACGUAGGUGGCAAGCGUUAUCCGGAAUUAUUGGGCGUAAAGCGCGCGUAGGCGGUUUUUUAAGUCUGAUGUGAAAGCCCACGGCUCAACCGUGGAGGGUCAUUGGAAACUGGAAAACUUGAGUGCAGAAGAGGAAAGUGGAAUUCCAUGUGUAGCGGUGAAAUGCGCAGAGAUAUGGAGGAACACCAGUGGCGAAGGCGACUUUCUGGUCUGUAACUGACGCUGAUGUGCGAAAGCGUGGGGAUCAAACAGGAUUAGAUACCCUGGUAGUCCACGCCGUAAACGAUGAGUGCUAAGUGUUAGGGGGUUUCCGCCCCUUAGUGCUGCAGCUAACGCAUUAAGCACUCCGCCUGGGGAGUACGACCGCAAGGUUGAAACUCAAAGGAAUUGACGGGGACCCGCACAAGCGGUGGAGCAUGUGGUUUAAUUCGAAGCAACGCGAAGAACCUUACCAAAUCUUGACAUCCUUUGACAACUCUAGAGAUAGAGCCUUCCCCUUCGGGGGACAAAGUGACAGGUGGUGCAUGGUUGUCGUCAGCUCGUGUCGUGGGAUGUUGGGUUAAGUCCCGCAACGAGCGCAACCCUUAAGCUUAGUUGCCAUCAUUAAGUUGGGCACUCUAAGUUGACUGCCGGUGACAAACCGGAGGAAGGUGGGGAUGACGUCGAAUCAUCAUGCCCCUUAUGAUUUGGGCUACACACGUGCUACAAUGGACAAUACAAAGGGCAGCGAAACCGCGAGGUCAAGCAAAUCCCAUAAAGUUGUUCUCAGUUCGGAUUGUAGUCUGCAACUCGACUACAUGAAGCUGGAAUCGCUAGUAAUCGUAGAUCAGCAUGCUACGGUGAAUACGUUCCCGGGUCU